rnacentral:rRNA from 1 species
UACGAAGGGGACUAGCGUUGUUCGGAAUCACUGGGCGUAAAGCGCACGUAGGCGGAUUGUUAAGUCGGGGGUGAAAUCCUGAGGCUCAACCUCAGAACUGCCUUCGAUACUGGCGAUCUUGAGUCCGGAAGAGGUUGGUGGAACAGCUAGUGUAGAGGUGAAAUUCGUAGAUAUUAGCUAGAACACCAGUGGCGAAGGCGGCCAACUGGUCCGGAACUGACGCUGAGGUGCGAAAGCGUGGGGAGCAAACAGG